GGAUUGUCACUCAGUGGUAGAGUGCUUGCCUGGCACGUGUGAGACCCUGUGUUCAAUCCUCAGCACCA
rnacentral:tRNA from 1 species